rnacentral:rRNA from 1 species
UGGGGAAUAUUGCACAAUGGGCGCAAGCCUGAUGCAGCGACGCCGCGUGAGGGAUGACGGCCUUCGGGUUGUAAACCUCUUUCAGCAGGGAACAAGCCUACUCUGUUGGGUGGGUGAGGGUACCUGCAGAAGAAGCACCGGCUAACUACGUGCCAGCAGCCGCGGUAAUACGUAGGGUGCGAGCAUUGUCCGGAAUUAUUGGGCGUAAAGAGCUCGUAGGCGGCUUGUCGCGUCGGAUGUGAAAGCCCGGGGCUUAACCCCGGGUCUGCAUUCGAUACGGGCAGGCUGGAGUUCGGUAGGGGAGAUCGGAAUUCCUGGUGUAGCGGUGAAAUGCGCAGAUAUCAGGAGGAACACCGGUGGCGAAGGCGGAUCUCUGGGCCGAUACUGACGCUGAGGAGCGAAAGCGUGGGGAGCGAACAG